AAAAUUACGAGUUUGACUCUGGCUCGGAGUGAACGCGCGCAAGAUAUCUUGACACAUGCGAGUUUUUUUAAUAUAUUUUUAUUUUUAAAGCGAAACGGUGCGUAAAAUAUGAAAAAAAUUAAUACUAUUACAGUAUAAAGAAUAAAAUUAUUUAUUAAGACUAAAUAUGCGAAUUUAAAUACAAAUUUAACUAAAUUUUAGUUUUAAUUCGAACUAACUUUUAUAUUAAAUUGUUAUACGAAUUGCGAUAAAUUUUAAUAAAAAUUAAAAAAUUAAUUUUUUUUAUAUCAAACUAGAUAAAAAAUUUGUCUAUGAGUUUUAGCUGGCUUGAAAAAUUGUACAGUCACAUGGGGGCUGAAAAACACCCUACCGUCGGCAGCAGUGGAGAAUAUUGGUCAAUGAACAAUCGUUUGAACUAGUAGAUUGCGGGAAUGAAAGAUUCAAUGAAUCGUGAAGACUAUGAUAGUUGUAAAGUUCGUUCGUAAAUUAAAAUUAUGACAUUAUAUUUAAAGAGAACCUCGGGCCAACAACGUGCCAGCAGCUGCGGUAAGACGUUGACGAGGGAGCGUUACUGGCCGUUACUAGGCGUAAAGAAUGGCGAAAUGGUUUAAAUCCUUAUACUUAAAAUCGUAGAAAGGACGAGGAAAGGUAUAAUAUUUUAAUACUUGAGGAUUAAAGAGGUUUGCGGUACGUAUAAUCUAGAGAUAAAAUUCUGACAGAUUAUAAAGAUCUUCUAAAGCCACGGCAGCAUCCCAUUUAAUGUCCUGACGUUGAGCCAUUAAGGUUUUAGCAUCAAUUAGGAUUGGAGACCCUAGUAGUUUCUACUAUGAAUUUAUGGACAUUAUAAAUAUAACUUAAUUAUACUUUAUAAGCUUACGCGAAAAUGUCUCGCCUGGGAAGUAAAGUCGCAAGGGUAAAACUUAAAAAGAUUGGCGGAAAUUUGCAUAAAUGGUGGAGCGUGUGGUUUAAUUCGACAAUCCACGUUUAAUCUUACCAAUGUAUUUAAAAUUAUUAAAUAAUACUUUAUUUGUUUUUUUUUUUGAAAUAAUUUUUUUUAGUACUGCAUGGCUGUCGUCAGUUUGUGUUGUAGAAUGGAAUAUUAAGUUAUUUAACAAACGCAACCUUAGCAAUAAAUAUUAUAUAAUAAUUUAUUAAAGAAACUAUAGCAAAAACUAUUAGCUUAAUAAAAGUUUAUAUUAUUUAUUUUAGAAAUAAUACGAAUAACUACAAUAUUCAUCGCCCUUUAACCUUAAAUUCUUUAAGAGCUAAUUAUAUGUAAUUUUUAAUCGUUAUGGUUAUCUAUUAAAUACUAAUUAUAUUAAAAAUUUGACUUAAAGGGGGAGCGGGUUAAGCGUUUGCGAUCUUUUUAAGAACAAAAACUAUAUAUAAUGAAUAAUGGUAAAUUGCAAUUAUUUAUUGUGAAAAUAUAACGCUAAUUUUUAAUUUUAAUUUUAGUACGGCUUUAAAAUUAAAUUUUAAAGGAAAAUUUAAUUAAUUUUAAAUCUUUUUUUAAAAAGUUAAUUAUUCAAAUUUGGGUAAUUAAUAUUACUAAUUAGAAUUAUAUUGUUUGUUAUAAGAAAAAGCCGAUCCCGGGUUUAAUGUUUAAUUAGCGUUAAUUAAACGGUAACAAUUUUAACAAUUGUUACUAUUGAGUUAAUUUUUAUUUUAAAUAAAAAUAAAAAUUAAAAGGAUAUUAAAUUUUUUUUUUUUUUAACAACUAUUAAUUGCUAUAUAAUUAGUUAUUUCGCAAUUCGUUGUUAUUUAAUUACUUAUUAUACAAUUAACAAGUAUUAAAAAAUAAACUCAUAGUUAGAUGAAUAUAACAUUUGUAUUAAGGAAGCUCGAGGAGAAGUCAAGUCAUUAUGGUCCAAAUAUGUUGGGCUACACAUGCGCUACAAAGUUAAAAACAAAUAGACAUGAGAACGAGAGUUUAAAUAAAUCUAUAAAAAUUAACCUAGUUCAGAUUGUAAACUGAAACUCGUUUACAUGAAGAAGGAAUCAUUAGUAAUCGUAAAUUAGAAUGUUACGGUGAAUGAUAUAUCAAAUUUUGCACACACCGCCCAUCACGCUCGAAGAGUUGUAUUGUUCGGAAAUUUGACAGGAUGUUAUAUAUUUAUAAUCAAUAAAAUUAUUUGAUUUUUGAAGUUAUAAAUAAGUUAAAAUAAAAAUUUUAAUGUACUAAUGACCUGUGAUUCAAGGCCGGUAUGGCAAUUUGAGUGAAGUUGAAACAAGGUAAUAGUAGGGGAACCUGCUUUUGGAUUAAACAUACU
rnacentral:rRNA from 1 species